AUCAAAAGUAUGUAUUGACAUACGUAUAGUGGUCAAAGAGUUCUUAUAUUUUGGGAUGGAGGGAGUAUAAACUCAUAUCUUGCCGGAGUUUAUAAUGUUAACAUUCAAAUUAAUAAUCAAAUUAAUAAUUUGCCUUCAAUUAAGCACUCAACAUUCAAAUUAUGUUUCAUAACUGUCUGUAUGAAAGUAAAAUCUCCUUUUUUUCUUUCUUUUUUGUGCAAUAAUUUAGUGGAAGUGCAUGUGUUUAUAAACUUAGUAUAUUAUACCAUUCAAUUCCAUUAGUUUCAACUUUUUUCAUUACAUUUUCAUUAAAUACAUAAACCAAAUAUAGACAUAUUAAUUAGCUUUUGAUUUAGCAAAAGAGAAAAAAAAUUAUUAGCUUUUGUUAACCGUUAAUACGAUUGUUCUUCCUUAUAAUCUCUUUUUAUAUUUUGAAAAAAGUUUUGAACUAACCAGUGUAUAUACUGAAAACACGACGAAGACCAAUUUAACUUGAUCACUUGAGUUAACUCGAUCACUUGAGUCAAUGAAAGUCAAAACACAAAAUGUGUCUAAUUGGUUGUCAUAAUCGAUAUAUACUCCACUAGUUACUAUUAUAAACAAAUUUAACUUUUUUGCUACAUUAAAAAAGUGAUAUAUGAAACUCACUUAGGUUGGUCUGGUGGUAUUGGCUUGAGAUCUGGAAGUGUGUUCCUCUCUUAAGAUCUCAGGUUCAAUUCUUUCACUUUGAUAUUUUGGAAGUUAUAAUAGAAGACACAGCUAACAUCGAUUUCUAUUUGAAAGGAUAUGGUUUUAGUUUUUCUUUCAAACAUCAAAUGCACAAUUUCCUCUCUAUGCUAAAUGAUGUCAUAGGAGAGUUAUUAUGAGAUAAAAUAAAAUCUAACACUAUUUUAAGAUAAUAAGAUAAAAUAAAAUCUAACACUAUUUUAAGAUAAUGUAAUAUUUUAUAAAAUUAAAUUUUACCUGAACAUACUCACUCAUUACAUGAGUAAUUUGGAAUUUAUAUCUACCUUGGAGAACAAGUUGACAAGAAAUAAAAAAAAUCCAUAUUAAGAGUUCAAACAUUUUGCAAUGUCUAGGAAAUAAAAAAUUAGGAAAAUUCAGAGAUUCCAUUUAAUUCUAUUAGAUGAAUAACAAAUAACAGAUUAUCAGUUUUCACAUAAUACAUGUUGCUUUUAAAUUCUAAAAAAAUAACAUUUGUAGAAUUGAGCUCUUUAAAGGAGAUGGCAUGACCUACCAAAGGCAUACUUCACAGUUCAUACUAAUACAAGGUGUAAGGAUUAUAUGAAGAAUUAUUGUUGUCCCAUUCCAAUUGCGAAAAUGCCAUGCAAUAAUAGACAAAAAGGGCAACAAAGUACAAACAAUACACAGCAAGCAACACUAUAUAUUUCAUUUCACUUGGAGAAAAAACUUUACAUGUUCUCAACAAUACUAUAUUUGCUAGUUCACUCACUGUCAUACCUACAAAAUUUCUAGCACAUUGGUGAAAAGGCUUCAGCAGCAAGAAAGAAUAUGGUUUCGAUAUUUUAACAAAAGACACUACUACAGUUAUGUUUCCUGAUCCUUCGCAUCAUGAUCUGAGACAGUUCCUUCAGAUGAUACCUCCUCUCCAUGGGGCUGUUCAACCCGGGAGGGAUCUGACUGAGUCUUGCUGGAAUCUCCACUAUCAGGGACUUGUUCUACUUUAUGCUCUUCAGAUGAACUCCAAUUUUCUGGUGAAAUCUGCCUAGGCUUCUUAUUUUUGAAGGCACCUUCCGAGUCUUUGAAUUUGGCUCUGCCAACUGGCCUUGUUGGCAAUGGAAGCUUGCUCUCUUGAAAGCUUGAAGAACUGGGAAUUGAGGGAAGAAGAGGGCCAGGACCAACACAGGAUGCAACCAACUGGAGCACUUCAGGAGAAGGAGACAGUCCUAAGUUUGUCUUUUUCGAUGAGUGUGAUGGGUUUGCCACUUUUAAAUUAAGAGGGGGCAAGUUGAGGUCAGAUUCAAUGUGCUGAGGUCCUGACGGAGUUAGUAGAGGAAAUGGUGGUGGGAAAGGAGUUGAGCUUGAAGCACCAUUAUCACCAUGGUAGCUGCUGUGAAAGUCUGGAGAAUAAUCUGGAAGAAACAGCUUGUGUGAUUUUCUCUUCCUUUUCUUCUUGAGACUACUCCUGGGGUCCUUCGGUAGGGAGAGGGGUGGUCCGGGGAUAACAAAUGGAGGAAUUGUAGGCUUAUCAUCUCCAUAGAGCAUGCGAACUGAAUGAGCAAUGGCUGAUACUGUGGGAGGAAGUUCAGGAUUAGGAAGUUUGACAGGGGAACUCACAGCUUGUCGUAACCAGUGGGGAAGCUUGUCUUUCGAAGAACUACUUCCAGCUAUUUCCUCCCCUUUUGAAUUCAUGUGAUUUGGUUUGAUGGGGUUGGAUAACAAUCCUGAGCUACUCUCAUGCAUGUCGUUCAGUGAUUCAUCCAGAAGUACAGGCAACUUUCCACGCUUGGUGUUUACACGCUCAUCCUCCUGUUGUUGUAUAUUAAUGUUUCCUGAGCAAUUCAAACCUAAAGAACUCAAGCUGCUUGUUCCAAAAGAAUUGAGCAGAAAUGGUCUUUCUGUCGGCACAUUGGAAGAAGUUCCUGGUCUAUCAGAUGUUUCAGCAGAAGCAUCAUCAAGAAACUUUGCUCUGUUUAUAUCAUGGCUCCAAGAUGGAAGAGGUGCAAAGUGAUCAUUUUGCAGACUAGGUCGAUCUAUUGUUCUAAAAUGUGGAAGACCAGUUGCAGGACCACCUAAUCCUAAUUUCAUGUCAGUCAGAUGGUUUUGAAAUUUUGGCGGUAAAAGAAAUUUGCUACCUUGCAAGGCCCUUUCCAUCAUUGCGUCAGAGAUUGGAAAAUGUGAAGAUUUGGUAGUCUUGGUUGUCUUUGAAGAUGAUCUUUGCAUAGGAAAAGCUGGCCCCUGAAAGAUCUUUACUUGUUCCUCCUCCCACCUCACUGAUAAUUCUUCACAUGUUUUAUACUUUGAAAACUUUAACUUGGUAUCUCUGAGCAUGGCAUCCCAAUUACCCCUUCCAUGCCUACGAACACCAAUCCAGAGAGAAUCAAGUUCCUCUUCAGCCCAACCAUCUGAUUUUGACUUCUUUUUUAAUAAGCUACUUGGUCCAGAGCCAGUUCUCAUCAUUAUGUUUUCCAGAACUUUCCGAUGGUUUUCUGGGAAUGAUGAUAAUGUGGUUGGCCUUUGUCCUAAACCCAAGGUAGGAGGCAUAUCCCUGUCUUGCUGAUUAUAUCUAAAUGAAUCUUCUGGGGGUAUUUUGAAAUUAGGUAAUGUUGGCAAUGUUGGGAGGUCUUGCAUAGAUCCAUUCAGAGCUUCAAGUCUGCCUCCUAAAGACAAAUUAGGUAAGAGGUCCGGAUGUGAAUUUGGAAUGCUCUUAGUUGUGAGUGGAAAUCUCGCCAGCAACCUUUCAUCAAAAGGCAGGUUUGGCAGGGCCAUUUUCUCCUGGAAAGUGGAGAAUCUAGCACCUGUACUCUCAAAUGCAUCAGAUUCCUUUCCUUGCAUAGAGGGUGGAAACUGCAACAACAAAAAGACAUCAAUCAUAGUGACACAUGCAUAAAGUCAACCAUAAUUGACAAAAAAAUCUACAAGCAUAUUAAGAGAGCAUACUGGAAGAAAUGGGAGAAAGUUAUCAGAGAUGCUAUUUUUGAAACUCUGUUGUAAAUUUUCUGUUGAUGCAUCCGAUAGUUUGGUAUUUGCUGUCUUUUCCUUAAUUCUCGCCUCAGCAUCCAUGGAUGUCCCAGUGCAAGGAGCAAGGCUGAAUGGAAACUCUUGUCUGGCAACGUACCUAUUUUGUCUCCAAUUUAACUUUGAAGUGUUACCCUCUGAUGAUUCUAUUUGAUUAGCAUUAGGAGCACAGAGUCCUAGAACGGGCAAUAGAUUGUUGCUUGGCAUAGAGUUUGUCAUGUUAACCCUCCCUUUAUUGUGGUAAUUUGGAGGCAAAAAUUCAGAUAAAGAUCGGCCUGGAUUGUUGACCGAAACAUCGAAGUGAUGGCUCAUUUGAUGUUUUGAAAUCUUCUCGAUCCUCUCAGCAUUGCUAUUUUGAGCUUCUGAAAGUUGAGUAUUUUUGUUGUCCUCUAUGUCGAUAGAAGUUCCUUCUUGAACUGAAUGUAUCGGCUCAGCUCCUAGAUCUCCAUCCUUGGCAAUGACUGGAGGAUGCACGGGUGACUCAGUACCUAGAAGUCCUUCAGCAGGAUGUGAUUCUUUAACUGCAUUCCUCUGAGCAAGUCGUUCCUUCUGCCGAGCACGGAGUUUAGCACUGUUGAUCAUUCACAAGUACAAUAUUUCAGCAAUAAGGACCUAUUUUAUCAUGAAUCUAAAAAACGUCGGAUAUAACAGUGUCAAUCAAACUACCAAAAUACAUGAAUAUUUUGGCCAAUGUGUUUGAAAAUCACCAAUUAGAGUGAAAUGAUUUAAACCUAAAAUGUUUGAGUGCUCAAACUACCACCAUCUUUGUGCAACAACAAAAAAACUACCAUGAUCAAUUUAUCAUUCGCAUGCAAGAUUUGCUAAGAGCUCCAGGUAAGUCGAUUCCAGAAGUCAAAAUUACAGCAUAAAGGGUUUAUAUUAACACAUCCUUUUUGAAAAUAUACCAGAACACUCUUAAAAAAAACAAACUUCCUCAAUACAAUGCAUUCUGAAAGAAUUGGUAUUGCAUGUUGAGUUGAGAACAGGAAACAUUGGGAGACAACAAAAAAGAAUUUCUGAAUAUUCUUUGUAUUCUGAACUAUGAUGGUGAGUGCUAUACUCGGAAUUAUUUAGUGUAUUGAAUCGGUCACGGUUGUAACUGACACUAACUCCUAACCGCUAUAACUAAUCAGAUCAAUGCACACACAUAAUACAGCGAGCAAGAGUACAGAGGAUCAUAACCAAAUAGCACCUAAUACAUAUACCCCCUCCUGCACACUGUUAAAAGAAACCCGAUGAAAGACACCUAAGCAGAAUACCAGAAAGAAGCCAUAAAAACAACCAACGGUACUGAUGACAUGUUCAACCUUUAUUAUCAUGUCUAAUAAGUUUAAUGUAAUUCAGAAAGCUUGAAAAAUAGAACAUACAAUUUUGCCUUCAGGGCUCGUCCUGCCGGUGUAUAUUCACGCUCAGGUUCUGGUACUUUUUCCUCCUCAACGCCACUCUGGUUGAACAUGCACAUCAAUAGAAAAUGUUAAAAAAGCAUAAUCUCUGCCAGGAAGAAUAAAAAUAAGAAACUAAAAAACCAAAAAGUUGUAAAGCAAAUGAACAAUCUAAAUUACAACAUAAAUUUUAAUGUCAAAUGUAACAACAUUCCAUAACUAUGCAUGUUAUUGUUUAGAGAGUCAUAUGAUCACACUAAAGAAACCAAUUCAAACCUAGCUAAAUUCUUGAAGGUGUCAGAUAUGAUGUAAAAUGUUGUGAUCCUUAUCACAGAGCUAUUUAAAUCAGAAAGCAUAUAUACAGCAAGAUGCUACCAGUCAGAAACUAGUAUCUGAAGAAACAAGAAGUUCUAGUUUGACAAAAUCCAUAAAAGCAUUUGAUCAAUGAGAAAGAAGGAAGCCCUAAACCUAGCUUAACCAAUCAUAAAUUUGAUUAACUUGAAUAACUGAGAAAAACAUAUGGGAAGAUGUUUUGAGAUUUUAUCAGAAACAAACACUUCUCAUCAGUCACCAUCUCCCAAUUAGAAUUAAUACAGCUUAUUAAGAAAUAGACUCUACUUACUAGCAGAAAGAAAGCAAAUUACCUCAGUCACUGCUUCAAUUGGGUGUGGAGCGUAUACUUCUCUAUAAGAAACAGCUUUCCUCUGCCGCUUCCCUCGACCAAGAGCUGCUUCCUCCUCACUCUGAUAUUUCUCCCACCUACAAACCAGAUUAAAUGUACAAUAAAAUCCAAGCUAAGACAUUAGUCACACCACUUGAUGGCUAACUAUGCUAUCCAAAUGCAUGCAGCACAAAAAUAAUCAUUUGUCAUUUAUAAAGAAAAAACCUGUUCAGGUUUUACUUAGAAGAUUUUCAUUUAUAAAAAGUGGUUUCUUGUAAAUUAAUCAUAGCUCCUUCACCAUCAUGAUCAAACAGUUCAUUGCAUGCUACUUCAGUUCUCAUAAGUAAUUACAUGUAAAAAACAAGUAUUGUUCAGCCUGCAUUUUGAUUUCACGUGAUGGCCAUGUUUAAAUACAACUGAUUCCUGGGCCUUCUGUCUUCAUUUGACCACUAAAGCUUGUAUACAAAAAAGCAGUUUUACUAAAAGAGAAACUAAGAGAAUUAAAGACAGAAUACAAGGAUCAAGACUAAUCCUUAAUGGAUGUGAAUUGUGAAACAAAGGAAGAAAACAAGGAAAAGAACAAUAAAUCACCUCAAAAGAUGUACUCAUUUUCUUGGAAUAUAAACAAACCUCCAUAAAGAAAAUGAAAAAGUUGAAUUUCUGUGUCUAAUCAGACCACAAAAGGCCGUAUUUAUAAUGUAUUUACAAAUUAAUCUGAUUGCCAAUUCUAAUGCUAUUUGGCGACUAAUUUGGGAUUCUACAGCUAUGCAUAUUUCACAUGUGACUAACUACACAAACCAUGUGACUAAUUCUAACAGAAACCUUGAAGCAAAAAAAACCCAAAGAUUGACAAAACCUAAGCCUCAUGCCAACAGAGGCAAGUAAAACUAGUCUAAAUGGGUAUCAUAAACCUCUGCUUUCAUUUUCUGACAAGGAGGUACUGCCCUGCCCUCAUCUACAGUGCUCUCUGGCAACAAAAGCAUCUCUCACGUUCAUAUUUUAAGUUCAUAAUGGACCUUAAAAUGACAUUUUUCAUUAUUAUUAAAUAGAUAUUUUCUUAUACAGCAUAGUCAUUUAUACAGAACUUGGAAAUUGUGAAAUAGAAGCUCCUUACCUCAAACGCAAUAGUCGGUCCCAUUCAUUUUCUUCACCGCCAAUCACUGCAUUAUCCUCUUUCUUCUCAGAGUUUUGUGCACACGUUUCAUCAGUUCCAUGAGGAGGGGAUUCACCCUCUACAUGUUCUUCAGUCGGUUCGUCAUUCCACUCAGGGGCCUACAUAAGAAAAAAUCAACCAUGAUAAGGGGCAGAGCAUUUAAUAUAUUCACCUGUAUCUACGAGCAUGGUGAUACGAUCAAAUUAAGAGUACAUAAAAUGUAGGUUAUGUUUUUGUACAAAAUCUAGUUUCCAGACAAUUUUAUCUCUCUUCUCGUGUAAGAAAUUCAAAGAACCAAAUAAAUACUGUAUCUACUAGAUCUUAGUCAAUUACUUCACCUUCAUUGAGCCCAGCAUAUCAUUCUCAGAAUCCCCUUCAGCAAUAUCAGUUGAAGCAUCUUGAAGGUUUGAACGAUCAAGCAAUUUUAAAAUGGCAUUUUCAUCCCACAAAAUCUUGCUGCUGCUAUCUGUACACUUAUCCUCGUAUACGUCACCAAGACCACCAGUCCUCUUCCGAUGCUUAUGUUCUAUAUCUGCUACUGCCUCAUCUUUGUUACUAUUAUUAUUCUCACUUGUAUCUUUUCCAUUUAGUCCACAAGAGUUAUUGAAGAGUUCUUCAGUUCCCCAUUUUAAAAUAUCUUCUACUUCUUUUUGAGAUCCAGAUUUACCUUUAAAAAGCUGAUCAAGCAUCAAUUUCUUUUUAGCAAGCUGCAAGAUACGCUCUUCAACGCUGGCACGAACCACAAGCCGGUAUACUAAAAGUCUAUUUGAUUGCCCAAUUCUGUGUGCUCGAUUCAUUGCUUGGAUAUCUGCAUGAGGGUUGAAAUCAGAAUCAUAGAUGAUGACAGUGUCAGCAGUGGCCAAAUUUAUCCCAAGUCCACAAGAUCGGGUUGAUAGUAGGAAAACAAAUCGACUUUUGUCUUGGUUGAAGCGUGCAAUUGCUGUCUGACGAUCUGCUACAGACACAGAGCCAUCCACUCUCUCAUAUGUUUUAGGCCCAAAUUCGAUAUUCAAAUAGUCCUCCAGGAUGUCAAGAAGCUUUGUCAUUUGUGAGAAAAUAAGAACUCUAUGACCUUCCUUAUACAAAAUCUUUAGCAUAGAAUGCAGAAGAGUCAACUUAGCUGAAGCCUUUAUUCUCAUUUCAUGAAGGAACUCAACAGAUCCAGAGUCGGGCUCAGUUCCUGGUAUGAGAUAUGGAUGAUUGCAGACCUUCCUCAGUUGCAUCACAAUGUUCAGCAUAGAUUGCUGAGGAAUACCUUUCCCAAUGUUCCGCAAUAUUUGAUAAUUCUUUGUAAGCAUUGCACGAUAAUAUUCAGCUUGGAUGGAUGACAACUCAACAGGAACCAUUCUUUCUGUCUUGGGAGGAAUAUUUUGCAUGGCAUCCUUUUUAAGUCUGCGAAGCAUAUGAGGAGAAACUAGUUUUUUCAAUUCAUCAACUUUCUCUGCACUUGUAAGAUCAUUAAAUCUCUCCUCAAAUGAAGAUAGGGAAGGAAAUGAUGCUGGCUGUAAGAAAUUAAGCAAGUUGUACAUCUCACCAAGGUUGUUCUGGAGAGGGGUGCCCGUCAACAGAACACGGUGUUGAAAAGAGAUUGAAUUUAGCAAGCUGAACAGCUUACUUUCUGAAUUCUUCAGUCGAUGACCCUCGUCAACAACAAGAACUUCCCAAGGAACUACCCGAAAAUGUGAAUAAUCGGCAAGGACCAUUUCAUAUGAAGUCAAAAGCACAUUAAAUUUAUAGGCUUCUGUUUUCUUAUUCAAUCCAGUUGGAUCGCUUGCAUGCCAUUCAUACUGCCUAAUUAUGGCUCUUGCUUUUGCACAGCCAUGAUAUUGAACAACAUUUACAUCUGGAGCCCAUAAUGAAAAUUCAGCAAGCCAAUUACCCAUUGUGACAAGAGGUACUAGGACCAAACAAGGACGUGAAACUUUGAAUUCAAAAUACAAAGAUGAAAUAAAAGCACAAGCAGAUAUUGUUUUCCCAAGCCCCAUCUCAUCAGCAAGUAUCACAUUCUUGGACUUAUACCAGCAUUUACGCAACCAGUUCAGAGCCUCAAGCUGAUGGGGAAACAAAGAACCACCUUUUAGCUCUUUAGGUUGCUCUGCAAGAUUAACUAUAUCAUUCUGACGGUCACUGCUUCUUUUAGUUGAAUUUUCCUUUGAUGCAUCCCUUUCAAAUGUGAGAGUUUCAAACAUUUUAAAACGUGUAAUCAAAUGAGAAGAAUUUUGAAGCACAGGUUCAUCUAAACUUUCCCAAGUGCACUCAUCAUAAGGUUUUCCAGUCCACUUAACAAAUGCUUCAGAUGCUCCAUGUUUGGAAUUGCGAAUAGCAAGCAACCUCUCCGGAUUCUUCCAUUGUUCCUCACAAAUAUUUAUUGUCGCUGUUCCAUAUUUUGCCUUGUAAUUUUCUAGUUUUCUCUUUGCAAUAACUUUUAAGUGGGAUUCAGAAAUCCAACUAUUAUGAAUGUAAGACUUUCCUACCCACUUAACUAAAAAUUCAUAGGAAACUUUCUCUCCAUUUGGACAAGCAGAUUCAACCCCAAUAGCAUCCUGAACUUUAUUAUCAACACUGUUACCCAUUCCCUUCUCCACAUCCACUUCCUUUUGUUUAGUUUUAAGAGAGUCAUGCAUCUCACAAUCUUUUGGAAGCUCACUGUCAUCUCUUAAAACAACAUCAAGAUUCUCUUCUGUCUCCAACAUGGCAUUUGCCUUUUCCAAUUGUUCAGCAGAUACCUCAUAAUCAUCCUGAUCUGUACCAUCCCUGGCACAGGAGCCUAAAUCAUCAGUGGCUUUACUCGAUGAAUUUAUGAGAUUUCCAUUUUUAUUUUCCUUUGUUAUUGAUCUCUUGUAUACCUGAAUUUUUUCCACUCUAUCGGUGGUUUUCAACUUUCCUUCAUCAGAACUUUUGACAUUUAGAGGAUCAUCAAGAUUUUCUGCUAUUUCAACAUCCACGUCAUUAUCACAAGCAGAAUUAUCUUCAACUAGCUUCUGGUUUUCUGACAUUACCAGAUCGCCGGAAGGUGAGUCAUCCCCAGCUUUCAAGGAUAAGUGACGUAUGGAGUUUGUGUCCUCACCUUGUAUUCGACACCCUAAGACUCGAUCAACCUGUGAGAUGGAUACAAAAGUAAAAAAGAAGACAUGAUAAUCAUAUACAAGAUAACAAGGAAGGCAAUUUCUUCAACAGAUGUGUAUAGAUGGUUACCUGCAGAGAUUCAAGAAUAGCACUGUCUUCAUUCAUUAAAGUUCCGUCCAACUGGCUUCCUGCUUUAUCAAGCUCAUUUGAUGUGUCUUUCAUUACCUGAGAGAACUUCUGCACCCAAGCAAAAGCAAAUAAUGCUUACAUUACAGCUAAACGCAAAUGCAAUAUCACAUCAACAAUAAUAUACUCUAAAUCUCAGCUAGCAUAUCAAUAUAUAUGAAGGAUAAGAUAGAAGGAUUAAUAAAUUCAGAAAGUAAACUUAAUAUGCUUUAUCACAUCAUAAAUGCUUUGAAACCUAUAAAACACAGCUACUGAUAUUCCUAAAUCUAACCCAAUGACACAAACCUAAAAAAAAUCUCACUAAAGAAAUGUCUAGAUCUGAUAUGUUCAAACUUGCUCUUAUACAAUAUAUGGUGAAUGUAUUUAUAGAGAUCAUCUCAUACAAUAGUUAUCUCCGGUAUUCUAGUCAUUAAUCAAAUGCUAGUGUGUUGUCAAUCUGCACUCUCAUACUUUGUUUUUGCAUUCAAGGAUAUGUUCCCUCCAACAUUUUGAGCAAGAUGAUCAAAUAUGCAGUAUCACAUGAGGUAGAGCAAUACAAAGUUGGAACCUACCUUCGUGAUAAGGAAAGUAAUAUGCUACUUUUUCACUCAAUAUUUUCCCUUCAUUUUCUGAAAUGUCUUGACCUUACAUUUUGUACAUAUGGAAAAGUAAAACUUCCAGAAAUAGUUCACCUUCCAGAGUUGGUAGAAUGUCAUUUAAAACAUGUUGCAAUUACUUCAACUGAUGACAAUGAUUGUGGUAAGCCGUUCUUAGAAUCAAAGAAGCUUAGUAUUGGCUCGCAUUAGUCAAUGACUAAAGUAUUAAGCUUCUUUGAUUCUAAGAACGGCUUAGCACAAUCAUUGUCAUAACGUGAAGUAAUUGCAAUCCGUUUUAAAUGGCAUUCUACCAACUCUGGAAGGUGUAUUGUUUCUAGAAGUUUUACUUACUCAUGUACGAAAUGUAAGGUCAAGACAUUUCGGAGAAUGAAGAGAAAAUAUCGAGUGAAAAAUUAGCAUAUUACUUCCCUUAUCACAAAGGUAGGUUCCAACUUUUGAAUUGUUCUACCUGAUGUGAUAUUGCGUAUCUGAUCAUCUUGCUCAAAAUAUUUAAGGGAACAUACCCUUGGUGCUCUACAUCUACUACAAUAUUACACAGCCUACAAUGUGGGAAAUACAUUCAAGCUUUACUUUUUCCUAGCUGAAAGCUUACAGCAGCCUGGGAUAUGGGAAAUGCGUAGAAAUUAACAAAUGAAAAUAAACUUGAGCAUUGAAGGCAGAUUAUGCGACUUAUGCCUUUUAAAAAAAGAUACACUUGUUGCAAAACGAUUCAUAUCAAAGAUCUUUCACAUUGCUGAUUUGAGUCAUCAGAAUUGAAGGCAACAAUCGUAACCCUUUCAUAAUUUGGGCAAAAUGAUUCAUUUUAAAGAUCUUCUCUGUUGCCGAUUUGAGUCAUCAGAAUUGAAGGCAACAAUCAUUAACCCUUUCAUAAGUUGGACAUCGCAGAUGCAUUCUUAAUGAAGUUCCAAUAAAUGCAUGAAGUGCCGCAAAAAUAGCAUUUCACUUGCAUAUGGUAUGAAUAUAAUAGGGAAGGCAAGUACGGAAGUACGAUUAGUAUUUCAUUUGAUAUAGUCCCCCAUGGUCCAAAAUUGAUGUCAUGCGGGGUGAAAAGGACAAUUCUUGAUUAUUAAAAAUAAAGGACAAUUCUUAAACUAUAAACAAUUAAGAUGUUUUAUAGGUUCCUAGAAGUAAACAUCAUAUAAGAAAUUAGAGGCAGAACAAGUACCUUGUCUUUCCGCUGGGCAUCUGAUUUCUUUUUCCCGACAUCCCCUUUUGAUAUAGAUGUAGAAAUUUUGUGCGUUUUGGACUUUUGCUUCUUGUUUACUUUAUUAUUUCCAGACUUUGACUUUAUAGGAGUAAUGACAAACAAUUUCCCCUUUUCAGUCCUAUGCUUCUUUUGAUUAGCAUUAUCAUUAAUAACUUUAAGCUUCCUUUUCCUCAUUUCCUCUCCACCAGCAGUAAUACCAAGAACAAGUGUUUUUCUAAAGGGAAUUUUAUCACAAGAUAAAUCGGGCUUCUCCUCCAGCAGGUCAUCAUUUGCAUCUAAAUUAGUAAUUUUAGAGGGAGAUAAAACUUCCUUAUCAGGUGAAGCUGACACCGCGUCCAUAGGCGAGGCUGUUGGGGACNNNNNNNNNNNNNNNNNNNNNNNNNNNNNNNNNNNNNNNNNNNACUUCCUUAUCAGGUGAAGCUGACACCGUGUCCAUAGGCGAGGCUGUUGGGGACAAGUUCAAGUUCUUGUCAACAGCAUCCACACAUGAUGAAGUUCCUUCCUUGCAACUCUCAAGAGAUGGGUCCAUUGGCUUGUCACUACAAGUUGCAUCCACUGG
rnacentral:lncRNA from 1 species